ACCCACAUACUAAGCCUAGUUAAUUUUUCUAUCCUAACCCUCCUACCACCUUCUACCCUCAAGUAGAUCCCAGUGCCUGUUGUUACCUUCUUUGUGCCUAUGUGUAUUCAAUGUUUAGUUCCCACUUAUAAG